GACGAACGCUGGCGGCGUGCUUAACACAUGCAAGUCGAACGGAAAGGCCCUGCUUGCAGGGUACUCGAGUGGCGAACGGGUGAGUAACACGUGGGUGAUCUGCCCUGCACUUCGGGAUAAGCUUGGGAAACUGGGUCUAAUACCGGAUAGGACCGCACUUUAGUGUGUGUGGUGGAAAGUUUUUUCGGUGUAGGAUGAGCUCGCGGCCUAUCAGCUUGUUGGUGGGGUAAUGGCCUACCAAGGCGGCGACGGGUAGCCGGCCUGAGAGGGUGUACGGCCACAUUGGGACUGAGAUACGGCCCAGACUCCUACGGGAGGCAGCAGUGGGGAAUAUUGCACAAUGGGCGCAAGCCUGAUGCAGCGACGCCGCGUGGGGGAUGAAGGCCUUCGGGUUGUAAACUCCUUUCGCUAGGGACGAAGCUUUGUUGUGAGGGUACCUAGAUAAGAAGCACCGGCUAACUACGU
rnacentral:rRNA from 1 species